GACGAACGCUGGCGGCGUGCUUAACACAUGCAAGUCGAACGGAAAGGCCCUGCUUUUGUGGGGUGCUCGAGUGGCGAACGGGUGAGUAACACGUGAGUAACCUGCCCUUGACUUUGGGAUAACUUCAGGAAACUGGGGCUAAUACCGGAUAGGAGCUCCUGCUGCAUGGUGGGGGUUGGAAAGUUUCGGCGGUUGGGGAUGGACUCGCGGCUUAUCAGCUUGUUGGUGGGGUAGUGGCUUACCAAGGCUUUGACGGGUAGCCGGCCCGGGAGGGUGACCGGCCACAUUGGGACUGAGAUACGGCCCAGACUCCUACGGGAGUCAGCAGUGGGGAAUAUUGCACAAUGGGCGGAAGCCUGAUGCAGCAACGCCGCGUGCGGGAUGACGGCCUUCGGGUUGUAAACCGCUUUCGCCUGUGACGAAGCGUGAGUGACGGUAAUGGGUAAAGAAGCACCGGCUAACUACGUG
rnacentral:rRNA from 1 species